GACGAACGCUGGCGGCGGGCUUAACACAUGCAAGUCGAGCGGUGACGCCCCGUCCUCUUUGUUGGCUGUGCAUGGACGGGGAACGGGGUGGUAACACGUGAGUCACCUGCCCCCUUACUCAGGAUUACCGCAUGGAAAUGUGGCUAAUAAGGGCUUUGCUGGGUCUGUCGCCUUCUGAGUCUGGGUAAGAUAUUCUUUCGGUGGGGGAGGGGGUCGCGUCUGAUUAGCUUGUUGGCGGGGUAAUGGCCCACCAAGGCUACGAUCGGUAGGGGUUCUGAGAGGAAGGUCCCCGACAUUGGAACUGAGACACGGUCCAAACUCCUACGGGAGGCAGCAGUGAGGAAUAUGGGUCAAUGGGCGGGAGCCUGAACCAGCCAAGUAGCGUGCAGGAUGACGGCCCUAUGGGUUGUAAACUGCUUUUAUGCGGGGAUAAAGUGAGGGACGUGUCCUUCAUUGCAGGUACCGCAUGAAUAAGGACCGGCUAAUUCCGUG
rnacentral:rRNA from 1 species